GACGAACGCUGGCGGCGUGCUUAACACAUGCAAGUCGAACGAGGAUUUUUAUUUCGGUAAAGAUCCGAGUGGCAAACGGGUGAGUAACGCGUAGACAACCUGCCUCUCUGAUGGGGACAACAGUUCGAAAGGACUGCUAAUACCGAAUGACGUAGGAGCACCACAUGGAGCUCCUACCAAAGACAGCCUACUCACAGUGCUGUCGCAGAGAGAUGGGUCUGCGUCUGAUUAGCUAGUUGGAGGGGUAACGGCCCACCAAGGCGACGAUCAGUAGCCGGUCUGAGAGGAUGGACGGCCACAUUGGAACUGAGACACGGUCCAAACUCCUACGGGAGGCAGCAGUGGGGAAUCUUCCGCAAUGGGCGAAAGCCUGACGGAGCAACGCCGCGUGAGUGAAGAAGGCCUUCGGGUCGUAAAGCUCUGUUGUUCGGGACGAAUGGCAGUACGAAGAACAAGCGUACUGCAUGACGGUACCGGACGAGGAAGCCACGGCUAACUACGUGCCAGCAGCCGCGGUAAUACGUAGGUGGCAAGCGUUGUCCGGAAUUAUUGGGCGUAAAGGGAGCGCAGGUGGGAAAGUAAGUCUGUCUUAAAAGUGCGGGGCUCAACCCCGUGAGGGGAUAGAAACUACAUUUCUUGAGUGCAGGAGAGGAAAGCGGAAUUCCUAGUGUAGCGGUGAAAUGCGUAGAUAUUAGGAGGAACACCAGUGGCGAAGGCGGCUUUCUGGACUGUAACUGACACUGAGGCUCGAAAGCCAGGGGAGCGAACGGGAUUAGAUACCCCGGUAGUCCUGGCCGUAAACGAUGGAUACUAGGUGUAGGAGGUAUCGACCCCUUCUGUGCCGGAGUUAACGCAAUAAGUAUCCCGCCUGGGGAGUACGGCCGCAAGGCUGA
rnacentral:rRNA from 1 species